UACCCGGGCCCGCGGCUGUCAAGGGGGCCCGGCCUUGGGUCAGAAAAUGAACACGAAGCUGAAGUGUCCUGCUCCAUUGGGAUUUCUGGUCUGUUUUCUUAUUUUCCACGUGGUGCAAGGUGGGACCUCAGGCAAUGUGACUGGUACUGAGUGCACUGUACAGGAGUCGUAAGUAUCCAGAUGUGUUUUAUUGUCAGCAUUUCAAACGCACGUGGCCUAAUGAAAGCUCUUGUCAAAUUUCGUGAUAAAUUUGAUAUU